rnacentral:rRNA from 1 species
GACGAACGCUGGCGGCGUGCCUAAUACAUGCAAGUUGAGCGCUGAAGGUUGGUACUUGUACCAACUGGAUGAGCAGCGAACGGGUGAGUAACGCGUGGGGAAUCUGCCUUUGAGCGGGGGACAACAUUUGGAAACGAAUGCUAAUACCGCAUAAAAACUUUAAACACAAGUUUUAAGUUUGAAAGAUGCAAUUGCAUCACUCAAAGUUGAUCCCGCGUUGUACUAGCUAGUUGGUGAGGUAAAGGCUCACCAAGGCGAUGAUACAUAGCCGACCUGAGAGGGUGAUCGGCCACAUUGGGACUGAGACACGGCCCAAACUCCUACGGGAGGCAGCAGUAGGGAAUCUUCGGCAAUGGACGAAAGUCUGACCGAGCAACGCCGCGUGAGUGAAGAAGGUUUUCGGAUCGUAAAACUCUGUUGGUAGAGAAGAACGUUGGUGAGAGUGGAAAGCUCAUCAAGUGACGGUAACUACCCAGAAAGGGACGGCUAACUACGUG